rnacentral:rRNA from 1 species
GACGAACGCUGGCGGCGUGCUUAACACAUGCAAGUCGAACGGAAAGGCUCCAGCUUGCUGGCGUACUCGAGUGGCGAACGGGUGAGUAACACGUGGGUAAUCUGCCAUGCACUCUGGGAUAAGCCUGGGAAACUGGGUCUAAUACUGGAUAUGACCUUUCUCCUUAUGGGGUUUGGUGGAAAGUUUUUCGGUGUAGGAUGAGCCCGCGGCCUAUCAGCUUGUUGGUGGGGUGAUGGCCUACCAAGGCGACGACGGGUAGCCGGCCUGAGAGGGUGAUCGGCCACAUUGGGACUGAGAUACGGCCCAGACUCCUACGGGAGGCAGCAGUGGGGAAUAUUGCACAAUGGGCGGAAGCCUGAUGCAGCGACGCCGCGUGAGGGAUGACGGCCUUCGGGUUGUAAACCUCUUUCAGCAGGGACGAAGCGUAAGUGACGGUACCUGCAGAAGAAGCACCGGCUAACUACGUG